UGACGAGUGAGAAUGCAGGCAUGAGUAGCGAUACACACGUGAGAAACGUGUGCGCCGAUUGACUAAGGGUUCCUGGGUCAAGCUGAUCUGCCCAGGGUAAGUCGGGACCUAAGGCGAGGCCGACAGGCGUAGUCGAUGGAUAACCGGUUGAUAUUCCGGUACCCGCUGUGAAGCGUCAAACAUCGAGCAUCGUGAUGCUAAGGCCGGAACCGCCCUGAUCUCUUCGGAGUUGAGGGGAGUGGUGGAGCCGCUGAACCAAGCGGUUAGUAGGUGAGUGAUGGGGGACGCAGGAAGGUAGUCCAUCCCGGGCGGUGGUUGUCCCGGGGUAAGGGUGUAGGCGGGUAGGUAAAUCCGCCUAUUAGUUGAGACCUGAUGCCGAGCCGAUUGUGGUGAAGUGGAUGAUCCUAUGCUGUCGAGAAAAGCCUCUACGAGUUUCAUGGCGGCCCGUACCCUAAACCGACUCAGGUGGUCAGGUAGAGAAUACCGAGGCGUUCGGGUGAACUAUGGUUAAGGAACUCGGCAAAAUGCCCCCGUAACUUCGGGAGAAGGGGGGCCACCUCGGGAUGGGAUUUACUCCUGAGCUGGGGGUGGCCGCAGAGACCAGCGAGAAGGCUGUUUACUAAAAACCAGGUCCGUGGAAGCCGUAAGGCGAUGUAUACGGACUGACGCCUGCCCGGUGCUGAACGUAAGGGACCGCGGG
rnacentral:rRNA from 1 species